rnacentral:ncRNA from 1 species
GGCCAUCGCUCAACGGAUAAAAGCUACCCCGGGGAUAACAGGCUUAUCUCCCCCAAGAGUCCACAUCGACGGGGAGGUUUGGCACCUCGAUGUCGGCUCAUCGCAUCCUGGGGCUGUAGUCGGUCCCAAGGGUUGGGCUGUUCGCCCAUUAAAGCGGUACGCGAGCUGGGUUCAGAACGUCGUGAGACAGUUCGGUCCCUAUCCGUCGUGGGCGCAGGAAAUUUGAGAGGAGCUGUCCUUAGUACGAGAGGACCGGGAUGGACGCACCGCUGGUGUACCAGUUGUCUUGCCAAAGGCAUCGCUGGGUAGCUAUGUGCGGACGGGAUAAGUGCUGAAAGCAUCUAAGCAUGAAGCCCCCCUCAAGAUGAGAUUUCCCAUAGCGUCAAGCUAGUAAGAUCCCUGAAAGAUGAUCAGGUUGAUAGGUCAGAGGUGGAAGCGCGGUGACGUGUGGAGCUGACUGAUACUAAUCGAUCGAGGACUUAACCAA